UACGGAGGGUGCGAGCGUUGUCCGGAAUCACUGGGCGUAAAGGGCGCGUAGGCGGCCUGGUAAGUAGGGGGUGAAAUCCUGCGGCUUAACCGCAGGGCUGCCUUCUAAACUGUCAGGCUCGAGCACGGUAGAGGCAGAUGGAAUUCCCGGUGUAGCGGUGGAAUGCGUAGAGAUCGGGAAGAACAUCAGUGGCGAAGGCGGUCUGCUGGGCCGUUGCUGACGCUGAGGCGCGACAGCGGUGGGGAGCAAACAGG
rnacentral:rRNA from 1 species